ACAUGGAGAAAAGGAGAUGAGGCCACAAAUUAGGAAGACAACAGCUGCAUUUACCGCUUUAAGCAAUAAGUCGUCAGACACAUCUAAUGCCAAAAGACCAAAGUACAAAUCUACAACUCAGUAACAGCAGAUAGUGGUUUCCAUUUUCCUUGGAGACAUUUUCAAACAGGAGAAAGGGGUUGAAGAGUGAGUUACAGCCUGUGCCAGCAGAAAGGAUUAAUGUUGUCAAGAUGCCAUGCAGGUACUAAUGCCAGCUGAGAGCUGCUCCUAACUCAGUCUCUACAAGCGCUCACUUCCCUACUACAACAUGGCUUGGAAACAAAACAGGGGGUCUUGGUGGACCACCAGUCGUCUCCAUCUACAAGAGAAAUAACACACAGCUACAGGACAAAGUCUGUGGGUCUAAAAGUCUGUCUUUUCACAGACCUGUAAUCUGAAUGAUAUCUUUCAAGUGUAGGACUUGGGAGGUUCCUCAGGAUCACUGAUCUGCUGUGACUGCAAGCAUAUUCCUUGCCUCUGGGCUUCAGUUUCCCUUCCCGUACCAAGCGGAUGAUGACAUAUUUCCCUUGUUGAAAAGAUCAGUGAUCACUACGAGAUGAGCAGCGAAUUCCUACUGUUGUUGAAAAAAAGAUUUUCAUAAAAACUCUUCAUCUCUCCUCACCUUGCUGAUGAAUAUGCAGUUUUCCAUGAUAUGAUACAUGAGAAACCAGAAGAUCUGCGCUGGAGACAGACUGAUUUCUCUUUUUCUAGUAAAAAAGGAGGAGUGGCUAGCAAACAUCUUCUUUGCUUCAGAUGUCUUUAAUAGGUCAAAGGGAUGUGAAAGAUGUAACUAAGCAUCUUCCUCUGUACAUAUAUGCUGUGAGAAU